rnacentral:rRNA from 1 species
AGCAGCAGCCGCGGGAAUACAUAGGGUGCGAGCGUUAAUCGGAUUUACUGGGCGUAAAGCGUGCGUAGGCGGCUUCUUAAGUCGGAUGUGAAAUCCCUGAGCUUAACUUAGGAAUUGCAUUCGAUACUGGGAAGCUAGAGUAUGGGAGAGGAUGGUAGAAUUCCAGGUGUAGCGGUGAAAUGCGUAGAGAUCUGGAGGAAUACCGAUGGCGAAGGCAGCCAUCUGGCCUAAUACUGACGCUGAGGUACGAAAGCAUGGGGAGCAAACAGGAUUAGAUACCCCAGUAGUCCCUGUCUCUUAUAA